ensembl:lncRNA
UGGAGCCCAUAGGGCCCUAUAGCGGAGCGCGGGGGGCGUGGUCCCCGCCGGUGUGUGCGGGAUGUGGCGCGUGGGGUCACUGUCCCUAUAUUGCUGCUCAAGGCUUUGUUCCCUAUAGUGAUGCGUGGUGCCCGUAGGCAUGGGAUGUGCAGAGGAUGUGGUCCCAUUGGGACAGCCGGCUGUACAGACCCUAUAGGGGUACCGGGGACAGCGGUGCCCACAGGGGCAUGAGGGGAAGGGUGUAUGGCAGCUGUAGCUGUACAGUCUGUGCAGUCACUCUAAGUGUGUAGGCACUGGACAUGCGAUUGUGUGUGAAGUUACAGUCUUCAUAAGUGCAUGCAGGGAAUAUGGUGAUCCCUGUGGAUUUUGAGGGCUAUGAAGACCUUGUAGGUGUGUAUCAGUAUUAAGCACCCUGUGGAUGUACGCUGGUUAUGUUCCCUGUCAGUGGGAUGUACGGUCCAUGUGGAUGAUGUGAGUGACCUAUAAAUGUAGGCAGGCUUGGUGUGAGACUGUGCAGUCGGGUGUGAGAUGCCACGGUUGAUGGAGCCCAUGUGUCUGAGCGGGGCAGCCAAGGAGCAGAGCUCCAUUACCUCCUCCAGAGGUUUGUGUCCCAGGACAGUGGUCCCAAUACAACACAGUGCUGGGCAAAGUCCUGGUGCUUCCCCCACGUCCCACUGCAAACUGAAGGAAAGCCUUUAUAAACAUUUCCCAAAGACGUGCAAGGCACUGCCAGCUGUAAGGACACACAGAGGACAGAGAGGAAUCACAGCGUGGAGCAGCACGCAGGCAGAGAAUAACAGUGAAGUUAGUUCAAGUUUGGGACAGCCGAGCACAGAGAGAGAUGAUGAAUUGUGGACAUGCAGAGAGGUUUUGGAGAAGCCAGGCGGAGAAAAUACUGAGUUUAGAUGAAGUCCCAGGAUGCUCAAAGUGAGCUGUGCCACUAAAGAUAAUCUUGAAACCUGGAGCUGAAGCAGUAAGGCAGAAGCAACAUCCAAUUAAACUAGAGACUAGGGAGGGUCUCUAAGAAAAUUUGGCUUAUUAGUAACCUAAAAAUAAUAUUGCUGUGUUGCCAGUGAAGAAACCAAAUGGGAAGGGGUACAGGUUAGGCAAGUAUCUAAGAGCAAUGAGUCAGAUCCCACAGGAAAUACAGCUGGUAGUAGCAAAUCCUUGUACUUGCUAAUGGCUCUGUAGGAGCAGCGCAGGGGGUGAAUGGUAUUAGGUCUGAAGGACGCUUUCUUCUGAAUAUCUCUGCAUGUGGCAAGUCAGGCAAUGUUCACCUUUGGGUGGGAAAAUCCAGAGGCAAAUCGGAAGAAGCCAAUUGGCUAAGGAACUGUAGAUAUGGAAGAAGGAGCCUUCACAGGGAGCCUCGGUGUUACUGCAAUACAUGGAUAUCAUUCUCCUGGCUGUAGAAACUAAAGAAUGUGCAUGCAUGACUGAUAGUUUGCUGAGCUUCCAGGAAGAGGAGGAUGACGUGUAUCAAAAAGGAAAGACACAGGUGAAUAAAGAAAUGGUUAUCUAUCUAGGAUUUGAGAUUUUACAGGAGCAACUUUCUGUGUCAUUAAUACUUGUAAAGGACAGCUAAGUCAUCAGGCAGCCCUGUUGUUGGUGCCGUGGGGAGGAAAGAGAGCAGGCCGUUCUUUCAACCUCUAUGUCUUCAGCUCUUGUGUACGCCUGAAUGCUCUGUGCUGCUUUUAGGUAGAGAUAUACUGACCAAGUUAUAAGGCUGUGGAGGCCCAGGUCUUUGUCUUACAGGAAUCAUCUCUUGAAUCUGAAGUACAUGGAGAGGUAGAGAAGAUGGUAAAGCCAAUGCUGUGGGCUGCAGAAACCCAAGGAUGAUCAAGAGAAGAUGCCCUGUGCAUCAGGGCCAACAUCUCCAGGGAAAACGUGGGUAGGGUUACAGCUCUGCAGCCUUCAUCUCAUCAUGAUCCGUUGCACCUCUGCAGCAGCUUUCUAUCUGAG